rnacentral:rRNA from 1 species
UGGGGAAUAUUGGACAAUGGGCGCAAGCCUGAUCCAGCCAUGCCGCGUGAGUGAUGAAGGCCCUAGGGUUGUAAAGCUCUUUCACCGGUGAAGAUAAUGACGGUAACCGGAGAAGAAGCCCCGGCUAACUUCGUGCCAGCAGCCGCGGUAAUACGAAGGGGGCUAGCGUUGUUCGGAUUUACUGGGCGUAAAGCGCACGUAGGCGGACUAUUAAGUCAGGGGUGAAAUCCCGGGGCUCAACCCCGGAACUGCCUUUGAUACUGGUAGUCUUGAGUUCGGGAGAGGUGAGUGGAAUUCCGAGUGUAGAGGUGAAAUUCGUAGAUAUUCGGAGGAAAACCAGUGGCGAAGGCGGCUCACUAGCUCGAUACUGACGCUGAGGUGCGAAAGCGUGGGGAGCAAACAGG